rnacentral:rRNA from 1 species
ACAAGGUAUCUGUAGGUGAACCUGCAGAUGGAUCAUCG